GUGCUCACUUCGGCAGUACAUAUACUAAAAUUGGAACAAUACAGAGAAGAUUAGAAUGGCCUCUAUGCAAGGAUGACACACAAAUUCAUGAAACAUUCCAUAUUUUU
rfam:Pteropus alecto contig83666, whole genome shotgun sequence.